rnacentral:lncRNA from 1 species
GGCGGGGCGAGGAGAGGUAGGGCAGCAAGGCGGGUCAAGGAUGUCCACCGGGCCGAGGACGUCGCAGACACCAGCGCUGAUCGCGGCUGUUUGUGGCGUGGUGGCGGCGUAGAUCGUGGAGGUGUUGUUUAAUUCCCAGGAGGUGUCAUCGUGGGGCUAGGAGGUGUCAUCGUGGGGCUGUGUAGCAUCCUGAACGGGGGAGUCUGCCGGCAGAACAUUUGUUGUGAACCGUCGAUCUGAUUGUAGUAUGGUUGAUCUAACGUGGACAGUUGGAUGGUACCAAGUAGAUCUGAUCGGACGUGGGGGGUUAUCCCGUGUGCACUUUCUG